UUCCACAGUUCCCAGUGUAGAUCCAGCGUGGGAUCGAUGUGCAAACGAGCCAUCGCCGGAGCGCACAGCAGCGUCACUAGCACGCACGCAAGCAGCAUCCUGCCAUUACAAACACACAGGGGCGUGCAGAAUUCUGAAAACUCCCUUUUCCCCGGCAACUGAUGACGCUGAUUUCUCAUUGGUGCGUUUUCAGCGUGCUCUUUAAUUCUAUUGGAUAUACCCAACAUACAAGCAGAGAACAAUCGAUCGGGGUUUGGACGAAAAUUGAAACACCUGCCAUACCACUGUCAAUGAGGUGCCAUCAUCAGCAUUCGAAGAAUGAUUGAAAACAUAAUCAAUGACUACAGUGCUGCUGGAUGGAAUCUGAAUGAGAGCGCGUUUCAGCCAGCAGGUGGCGCUGCGGUGCUGCCGUAAGCUGGAAUUCUACAGUCUGCACAGUACAAACUCACUCAAUGCCAGAAAGUUGCAUCAACUUACCAUGUCAGACUUUCGCAAGAAUAACUUGAAAAUGAGGAACCGUCAUUUCUACAAUGGCAGGCAGUGUCACCACAAAUAACCAACCAGCAGCCACAGGUGUCUUUUUUCAUCUCAGAAACUAAGAUCUCCUGAUUGUAGUGACAGUCCUGGGUAACGGAGUGAAAGCCAAGAGCUCAAACCACACACUCCCAGAGCUUGCACUGCUAUCGGCUAGAUAGGAACCAAGCGUGCAGUUUUAUCUUAAAGCAUCGGGUUAAAUCUCCGUUUCCAGCUGUUCUGCCAUUAUUUGCUACCUGUCACUUUUUGCCAAUCCCCUGCAUGCUUGCCACUGUUUUCUGUUUCUGUUCUUCAGUCAGAAAUAGCUACCCAGCUUAAAUCACGUUUAAUGUAUAAAUAUUGAUGAAGUAUGAAGACCCACUUAUUAUAAUGACUUGAAUGACAAUUAGUAUCCGUGUAAUAUGAAGGGCAGCAAUCACCGGCUGUUUUAAACACAGGUAAUGCAUAUUGCCAGAUUGAUAAGAAAACUACGCGAUGUCCUGUACUUUUUGCUUUUAUGUUUUUUGAAAAACGUGUGUUUAAUAGGUUAGUACAAAUAUACUUUAUUUUAUGUGACAGUGUCUUUAUUAUUAUUACUAUUAUUUCUUGUAGAACGGAAGAGAAGAUUGCUGCUGUUUAUAACUAUAAAUAUCCAAAUAUUCAAAAAAAUUCUGACACCUCA